CCUACGUGUGGCUGCAGUGGGGAAUAUUGGACAAUGGGCGAAAGCCUGAUCCAGCCAUGCCGCGUGUGUGAAGAAGGCCUUCGGGUUGUAAAGCACUUUCAGUGGGGAAGAAAGCCUUGGGGCUAAUACCCUCGAGGAAGGACAUCACCCACAGAAGAAGCACCGGCUAACUCCGUGCCAGCAGCCGCGGUAAUACGGAGGGUGCGAGCGUUAAUCGGAAUUACUGGGCGUAAAGCGCGCGUAGGCGGUCUGAUAAGCCGGUUGUGAAAGCCCCGGGCUCAACCUGGGAACGGCAUCCGGAACUGUCAGGCUAGAGUGCAGGAGAGGAAGGUAGAAUUCCCGGUGUAGCGGUGAAAUGCGUAGAGAGCGGGAGGAAUACCAGUGGCGAAGGCGGCCUUCUGGACUGACACUGACGCUGAGGUGCGAAAGCGUGGGUAGCAAACACGAUUAGAUACCCCGGUAGUC
rnacentral:rRNA from 1 species